rnacentral:rRNA from 1 species
CCUACGGGUGGCAGCAGUGAGGAAUAUUGGUCAAUGGACGCAAGUCUGAACCAGCCAUACCGCGUGCAGGAAGACGGCUCUAUGAGUUGUAAACUGCUUUUGUACGAGGGUAAACGCAGAUACGCGUAUCUGUCUGAAAGUAUCGUACGAAUAAGGAUCGGCUAACUCCGUGCCAGCAGCCGCGGUAAUACGGAGGAUUCAAGCGUUAUCCGGAUUUAUUGGGUUUAAAGGGUGCGUAGGCGGUCGGAUAAGUUAGAGGUGAAAUCCCGAGGCUCAACUUCGGAAUUGCCUCUGAUACUGUUCGGCGAGAGAGUAGUUGCGGUAGGCGGAAUGUAUGGUGUAGCGGUGAAAUGCUUAGAGAUCAUACAGAACACCGAUUGCGAAGGCAGCUUACCAAGCUACGUCUGACGUUGAGGCACGAAAGCGUGGGGAGCAAACAGGAUUAGAUACCCGUGUAGUC